UACGAAGGGGCGAGCGUUGUUCGGAUUUACUGGGCGUAAAGGGCGCGCAGGCGGCUCAUUUUGUCAGGCGUGAAAGCCCCGGGCUUAACCUGGGAACUGCGUUUGAUACGGAUGGGCUAGAGUUCGGGAGAGGAGAGUGGAAUUCCCAGUGUAGAGGUGGAAAUUCGUAGAUAUUGGGAAGAACACCGGUGGCGAAGGCGGCUCUCUGGACCGAGACUGACGCGUGAGG
rnacentral:rRNA from 1 species